rnacentral:rRNA from 1 species
UACGAAGGGGGCUAGCGUUGCUCGGAAUUACUGGGCGUAAAGCGCACGUAGGCGGCUUCUUAGGUCGGUGGUGAAAUCCUGGAGCUCAACUCCAGAACUGCCUUUGAUACUGAGGAUCUUGAGUUCGGGAGAGGUGAGUGGAACUGCGAGUGUAGAGGUGAAAUUCGUAGAUAUUCGCAAGAACACCAGUGGCGAAGGCGGCUCACUGGCCCGAUACUGACGCUGAGGCACGAAAGCGUGGGGAGCAAACAGG